AGAAUCAACGCUGGCGGCGUGCCUAACACAUGCAAGUCGAACGAGAAAGUGGAGCAAUCCAUGAGUACAGUGGCGCACGGGUGAGUAACACGUGACUAACCUACCCUCGAGUGGGGAAUAACCUCGGGAAACCGGGGCUAAUACCGCAUAACAUCCACGGAUCAAAUGCGUAAGCAGCUUGAGGAGGGGGUCGCGGCUGAUUAGCUAGUUGGCGGGGUAAUGGCCCACCAAGGCAGUGAUCAGUAGCCGGCCUGAGAGGGCGCACGGCCACACUGGAACUGAAACACGGUCCAGACUCCUACGGGAGGCAGCAGUGGGGAAUUUUGCGCAAUGGGGGAAACCCUGACGCAGCAACGCCGCGUGGAGGAUUAAGGCCCCUUGGGGUGUAAACUCCUUUCGAUCGGGACGAUUAUGACGGUACCGGAAGAAGAAGCACCGGCUAACUCUGCGCCAGCAGCCGC
rnacentral:rRNA from 1 species